UACGGGGGGGGCAAGCGUUGUUCGGAAUUACUGGGCGUAAAGGGCUCGUAGGUGGCCAACUAAGUCAGACGUGAAAUCCCUCGGCUUAACCGGGGAACUGCGUCUGAUACUGGAUGGCUUGAGUUUGGGAGAGGGAUGCGGAAUUCCAGGUGUAGCGGUGAAAUGCGUAGAUAUCUGGAGGAACACCAGAGGCGAAGGCGGCGAACUUGACAGUUACUGACACUCAACUGCGAAAGCGUGGGGAGCGAACAGG
rnacentral:rRNA from 1 species